rnacentral:misc_RNA from 1 species
AACUUUCGGCAAUGGAUCUCUUGGCUCUCGCAACGAUGAAGAACGCAGCGAACUGCGAUAAGUAAUGUGAAUUGCAGAAUUCAGUGAAUCAUCGAAUCUUUGAACGCACCUUGCGCCCCUUGGCAUUCCGAGGGGCACACCCGUUUGAGUGUCGUGAAAUUCUCAAAACCUUUUCCUUUGCCGGAAAGGAUUUUGGACUUGGAGGCCUUUUGCUGGUUUCACCUCGAAGCGAGCUCCUCCAAAAUGGAUUAGUGCGGUCUGCUUUGCCGAUCCUUGACGUGAUAAGAUGCUUCUACGUCUCGGGUUUUGGCACUGUGCCUCUGCUUCUAACCGUCUCAUUGACAGCGAUGGUGUUCCGGUCACCGCCGAUUCGUCGGUGGGAGGCUUGACCCACAAAACGACCUUGACCUCAAAUCGGGUGAGACUACCCGCUGAACUUAAGCAUAUCAAUAAGCGGAGGCU